UGGGGGAUAUUGCACAAUGGGGGAAACCCUGAUGCAGCGACGCCGCGUGAGCGAAGAAGAUCUUCGGAUUGUAAAGCUCUGUCUUAGGGGACGAUAAUGACGGUACCCUGAGAGGAAGCCACGGCUAACUACGUGCCAGCAGCCGCGGUAAUACGUAGGUGGCAAGCGUUGUCCGGAAUUACUGGGUGUAAAGGGAGCGCAGGCGGGCAGACAAGUUGGAAGUGAAAAUCAUGGGCUCAACUCAUGACCUGCUUUCAAAACUGUAUGUCUUGAGUGGUGCAGAGGUAGGCGGAAUUCCCGGUGUAGCGGUGGAAUGCGUAGAUAUCGGGAGGAACACCAGUGGCGAAGGCGGCCUACUGGGCACUAACUGACGCUGAGGCUCGAAAGUAUGGGUAGCAAA
rnacentral:rRNA from 1 species